UACAGAGGGUGCAAGCGUUAAUCGGAAUUAUUGGGCGUAAAGCGUGCGUAGACGGUUAUGUAAGUCAGGUGUGAAAGCCCCGGGCUCAACCUGGGAAUUGCAUUUGAGACUGCAUAGCUAGGGUGCGGAAGAGGGAAGCGGAAUUUCCGGUGUAGCGGUGAAAUGCGUAGAUAUCUGGAGGAACACCGGUGGCGAAGGCGGCAUCCUGGACCAAUUCUGACGCUGAGGAGCGAGAGCCAGGGGAGCAAACGGG
rnacentral:rRNA from 1 species